AAAACACACAACAGCUCAAGCUGGACAACAAGAUCCGAAACAUUUUAAAACUGGUGAUCAUUCAGAAUCUAGAAAGAAAUGAAUCUUCUUCACAGACAAAGAUUUAAACACCAGCACCUCAAAAUUAACAGAACACAUCAACACGCAUGUGAUCUAUACCAUAGUAAACUAAAACAGAUCAAUAAAAUCACAAAUAUUGAGAUUUCAAACAGAAAACACAA
rnacentral:misc_RNA from 1 species